rnacentral:rRNA from 1 species
UACGAAGGUGGCAAGCGUUGUUCGGAUUCACUGGGCGUACAGGGUGUGUAGGCGGUUUGGUAAGCCUUCUGUUAAAGCUUCGGGCCCAACCCGGAAAGCGCAGAGGGUACUGCCAGGCUAGAGUGUGGCAGAGGGGGGUGGAAUUCCACGUGUAGCAGUGAAAUGCGUAGAGAUGUGGAGGAAUACCGAUGGCGAAGGCAGCCCCCUGGGACAUGACUGACGCUCAUGCACGAAAGCGUGGGGAGCAAACAGG